rnacentral:rRNA from 1 species
GACGAACGCUGGCGGCGUGCUUAACACAUGCAAGUCGAACGGAAAGGCCCUGCUUUUGUGGGGUGCUCGAGUGGCGAACGGGUGAGUAACACGUGAGUAACCUGCCCUUGACUUUGGGAUAACUUCAGGAAACUGGGGCUAAUACCGGAUAGGAGCUCCUGCUGCAUGGUGGGGGUUGGAAAGUUUCGGCGGUUGGGGAUGGACUCGCGGCUUAUCAGCUUGUUGGUGGGGUAGUGGCUUACCAAGGCUUUGACGGGUAGCCGGCCUGAGAGGGUGACCGGCCACAUUGGGACGGAGAGACGGCCCAGACUCCUACGGGAGGCAGCAGUGGGGAAUAUUGCACAAUGGGCGGAAGCCGGAUGCAGCAACGCCGCGUGCGGGAUGACGGCCUUCGGGUUGUAAACCGCUUUCGCCUGUGACGAAGCGUGAGUGACGGUAAUGGGUAAAGAAGCACCGGCUAACUACGU